GUGUCAGCAGCCGCGGUAAUACGUAGGGGGCGAGCGUUGUCCGGAUUUACUGGGCGUAAAGAGCGCGUAGGCGGCUCGUUAAGUUGGCUGUGAAAGGUCUGGGCCCAACCCAGAUAGGUCGGCCGAAACUGGCGGGCUUGAGGGCGGUAGAGGAAGGUGGAAUUCCGGGUGUAGUGGUGAAAUGCGUAGAUAUCCGGAGGAACACCGGUGGCGAAGGCGGCCUUCUGGGCCGUUCCUGACGCUGAGGCGCGAAAGCGUGGGUAGCGAACUGAAUUAGAUACUCAGGUAGUCCACGCCCUAAACGAUGGACGCUAGGUGUGGGGGGUAUCGACCCCUUCCGUGCCGAAGCUAACGCAUUAAGCGUCCCGCCUGGGGAGUACGGCCGCAAGGUUAAA
rnacentral:rRNA from 1 species